AGAGUUUGAUCCUGGCUCAGAACGAACGUUGGCGGCGUGGAUUAGGCAUGCAAGUCGAACGAAUCCCAUCUGGGUAACUGGGUGGGGGAAGUGGCGAAAGGGGCAGUAAGGCGUGGGUAACCUACCUCAGGGACGGGGAUAGCCAUUCUAACGAGUGGGUAAUACCCGGCGAUCUGCACGAGAGACAUCUCCUGUGCAGGAAAUGAAUUUCGCCUUGAGAGGGGCUCACGUAGUAUUAUGCUUGUUGGUGAGGUAACGGCUCACCAAGGCCAAGAUGCUUAGCAGGUGUGAGAGCACGACCUGCGCCACUGGCACUGUGACACUGGCCAGACUCCUACGGGAGGCUGCAGUCGAGGAUCUUCGGCAAUGGGCGCAAGCCUGACCGAGCGACGCCGCGUGUGCGAUGAAGGCCUUCGGGUUGUAAA
rnacentral:rRNA from 1 species